GUCCCUGUAGUGCAAUGGAUAGCUCGUUGAACAUCUAAUCCAAAGGUCGUAAGUUCGAAUUCUACCUGGGAUG